AAAUGGAAUCUACCAGCACUAAUGCAUCGGAUUUCGUCAGAGCUCCGCAGUUAAGUGUGUUUAGGCGAGAAUAAUACUAAGAUGGAUAUUUUUUUUAGAAAUUUGUGUGUAGCACUUU
rnacentral:rRNA from 1 species